rnacentral:rRNA from 1 species
UUAUGGCUCAGGACGAACGCUGGCGGCGUGCCUAAUACAUGCAAGUCGAACGGUCUUUCUAUGGAAGCUUGCUUCCACUGAGAAGAUAGUGGCGGACGGGUGAGUAACACGUGGGUAACCUGCCCAUAAGAGGGGGAUAACAUCCGGAAACGGGUGCUAAUACCGCAUAGUUUUCUUGAUCGCAUGAUUGAGAAAGGAAAGACGGCCUUUGUGCUGUCGCUUAUGGAUGGACCCGCGGCGUAUUAGUUAGUUGGUGAGGUAACGGCUCACCAAGACGAUGAUACGUAGCCGACCUGAGAGGGUGAUCGGCCACAUUGGGACUGAGACACGGCCCAAACUCCUACGGGAGGCAGCAGUAGGGAAUCUUCCGCAAUGGACGAAAGUCUGACGGAGCAACGCCGCGUGAGUGAAAGAAGGUUUUCGGAUCGUAAAACUCUGUUGUCAGAGAAGAACAAGUCGGAGAGUAACUGCUCCGGCCUUGACGGUAUCUGACCAGAAAGCCACGGCUAACUACGUGCCAGCCGCCGC